AUCAGUUGAUUUAAACAAUGUUAAAUCAGUCAACUGGAUGUUUAAAUUUUCACUCGUCAGAUACAAUUAGACUUCACGAACGCUCUUUGAAGCACGCAUCCCAGUUUUCAGUCAGAAUUCGUAAGGAAUACGUGACGCAACUAUGGGCAACAGUUCAACAAAGAGUGAACCACCUGAACUAACAAUAAAUGAGAUCAGGACGAUGGUAGGACCAUUUAGGGAAACUCUGAACAGAGAAGAUAUGCGCUUGUUCAGAUAUGCGAUGAAACAAGUCGCGGUUGAGAUGGAGGAUUGCACUGAACUACUAAUCAUUUUUGAUCACCGUGACGAACUUCUAUGUAGGCCGGAGGGCUGUUCUGAGUCAGAUAUAAAAUCACGCAUGGUGAUAUUUAGAGAAGGUAAUACUUGCAUGAUGGUUAAAAGGCACUUUAGUGUCUUACGUAAAAUAAGGGACAUUAUUACACUCCCGUUUCGAUGGUUUAAGUCCUUUUUUUUUGGUGGUGAAGUACAGGAAGAGGAACAAAAAGAGUUCAUCGUCGCUCGACGUGAAAAUUGUUAUUAAUUUUGUUUAUUACGAACUGAUUUGAAAAUCAUCUUCUUUGGUAACCUAUCUGUUGCCAGGGUAAUAUUUUACUAACGAGUUUUUUGUUUAUGCCAAUCGUGUAAAAAGAAUUUGUAUUUUAGUUGUUCAUAUUUUCCUGGCUGUUAUAUGUAUAGUAGUAUAUUAUUUUACAACAGACUAAAAAGUACAAUUUAUGUUUUUCGUUCGCUAGGCGGAUACAAUAUCCGUUACAUCGGUGCCAUGUUUAUAUUCAUGUACCAAUACACAUUAUAUUAUAUGUGCAUACUUGUCAAUUAUAACAGAUCCACGUGAUAUUUUUUAUUAAUAAAGACAGUCAGCCAAUUAUACAUAAAUUGUUAUACACAUGUUAUUAUUAUGUAAGUUUAAGAGUUUUUGCUGAAUAUAUAUAGUGAUAUUUCA